GUUAGAACCUCAUUUGCAGGUGACCUAGUUUUCUCUUAAAUACCUUAGUCCCGACCACCUUCCGUGGUUUCAGAACCUUCAGCAGGAAGUCUUGGUGUGAACAUUAAACGGCGCUACAUUAACAUUCGAAAUUGCGAUUCGGUCCUCGUCAUGAUACUUUUUUAACAAUCCUAAUACACAGUAUGCCUAGGUUUUGUGUGUAAGAGAUUUCUCCUGUAGAUAAUCAUUUAUGUCCUAGAGUUUCGAAUGGGUGAGAGGUUUGAACGAGUACAGUCCAAGAAUUGUAUUAGUAUUAGAAUGUCUAAUCAUUUUGCGGCUGCAUGCUAUUUAUAUUUGGUAGCUGAAGACAAGCAGUGGUCAUUGGAGCUCAAUCUCUCUACGUGCGUUUUUAUCUCGCUUAGCCUUCCUUUGCACUGAGAUCAAAAUGGAGUUUAGGAACCUGAGUGAUAUCCACUCGGAAGAAUUUAGGUUUUGUUCUCUCGAAUCUCUGUUCUUGAAACUGCACGAAGGUCUUUCGACAUGCUGUUGAUUGGCACUGAAUUAUUUUCUUCCGUGUACAGAUCUUGUCGCACAACUCAGGAGGGUUUGUUGUAGAUGUUGAGGGCCUGCGUGGUUUUGUGCCUUUCUCUCAGGUUUCAGCUGUAAGUACUCCGAUUUUACCCUUAAACCUGUUUGAAAAUCACGGGCACCUUGUUUAUUGACAUGCUUGAUUUCUGCAUUAUUACCUGUUUCGGUCGAAGUUUUAUGUUCAUUAUGAUUAAAAUUUCCGCGCGUGGUGCUUGCUCUGCUCCAUUGGCAGAGGGGUGCCCAGUCCAACCCUGAAGAACUUUUGAACAAGGAAAUCCCUCUCAAGUU
rnacentral:lncRNA from 1 species